rnacentral:rRNA from 1 species
GAUGAACGCUGGCGGCGUGCCUAAUACAUGCAAGUCGAGCGAACGGACGAGAAGCUUGCUUCUCUGAUGUUAGCGGCGGACGGGUGGGUAACACGUGGAUAGCCUACCUAUAAGACUGGGAUAACUUCGGGAAACCGGAGCUAAUACCGGAUAAUAUUUUGAACCGCAUGGUUCAAAAGUGAAAGACGGUCUUGCUGUCACUUAUAGAUGGAUCCGCGCUGCAUUAGCUAGUUGGUAAGGUAACGGCUUACCAAGGCAACGAUGCAUAGCCGACCUGAGAGGGUGAUCGGCCACACUGGAACUGAGACACGGUCCAGACUCCUACGGGAGGCAGCAGUAGGGAAUCUUCCGCAAUGGGCGAAAGCCUGACGGAGCAACGCCGCGUGAGUGAUGAAGGUCUUCGGAUCGUAAAACUCUGUUAUUAGGGAAGAACAUAUGUGUAAGUAACUGUGCACAUCUUGACGGUACCUAAUCAGAAAGCCACGGCUAACUACGUG